CUAAGGUGCUAGUAUUACUAUAGAGAGAUACACUUGGGUUUGGGAUAAAAGCUUUAUCAUUCUAAGCUUUUCAAAACACUUGGGAAGUGAGAAAUAGUAUGAUUUUGGUAUUAAGGUUUAGAUCAAUCCAUAAGAUCAAUCAAGGUAUUUAUGUUCUUGAAACUUAAGGUCCUUCUUGGAGUGUUCUAUUCCUAUUCUUGUUCCCAAAUAUCUCGGCUUUUGUGUAAUGCAGGAAAAUAGUUAUGGAGGCAGAAGGAUUCUUGGUAGCUUGUGUUGUGUGUUAAGGAUGAAUGGACUGAGUGGACUGCGUAUCUAUCGAGGAUGACAUUUAUUUAGUCUUUUGAAUUAUGUUAUUAUUUUGAAAUUCCGCAUUUAGUUUUUGAACAAUUAGUGUAAAGUUAUAUGUUUUACGUUUUACAAAC